CACACUUAAAUUCACAUAUUUUUAGCAACUAUAAAAUCGCCGCUAAAUUUGAAUCGUUUCAUUUUCAUACAAAAAUAUUUGGCAGCAUUAAUAUUCGGCACACAUUUUGUUAGUUGUGCCGCCAAAAAUAUUUGAUAAGAUUAUUUUUUAUAGUUAGUCGUAUGUUUUAGCAAAGUGAAUAUUAAUAGACGCAACGGACGCCGCACGUAGCGGGCGCCUCAUACGCUCAAAGGUCCCGGUUGAAGUAAUAGAUGUUCAUUUGGAUUGGACAGCUGAGAUGAAGGAUCGCGUAUCAAUUUUGACGACAGAGAUAAAGACAAAGGCAAAGGCAGUCAAUGGACAAGGUCAAGAUUGAGAUUAAGGAAGAGAUGAAAGUGAAGAUGAAGGUCAAAAUAAAAGAUGAAGAUAAAGAUUUAGAAGAGCGUUGCAAGAAAGCUAUAACUGCCAUGUAUGUAUGCCUGUAAAUCAGCGAUAGGGAAAAAAUGGGGAUUGAAGCAUCAAGCUCUACCCAGAAUAACAGCGGACGAAGGUAAAGCGAUCAAAUGAAAGAAUAAAUGGAAACUAGUGAACCCGCAUGGCGUUAAAACGCCCAAAAUUGAAUUUAAAAAUUAUAAAAAAUAUUCUAAAUGUUAAUCGGAGUUAUAACCGAUUAGAUUGCCAUAUUUCAUCUAAAUGUUCCAACUUCAAAAAAUAAAAUCUUAACCCAUAUA